rnacentral:rRNA from 1 species
GAUGAACGCUGGCGGCGUGCCUAAUACAUGCAAGUCGAGCGGUAAGGCCCCUUCGGGGGUACACGAGCGGCGGACGGCUGAGUAACACGUAGGAACGUACCCCAAACUGAGGGAUAAGCACCGGAAACGGUGUCUAAUACCGCAUGUGCUCUUCGGAGUAAAGCUACGGCGGUUUGGGAACGGCCUGCGCAUGAUUAGCUAGUUGGUGAGGUAAUGGCUCACCAAGGCGACGAUCAUUAGCUGGUCUGAGAGGAUGAUCAGCCAGACUGGGACUGAGAACGGCCCAGACUCCUACGGGAGGCAGCAGUAGGGAAUUUUCCACAAUGGGGGCAACCCUGAUGGAGCAACGCCGCGUGCAGGAUGAAGGGUUUCGGCUCGUAAACUGCUUUUAUCUGUGACGAUUAUGACGGUAGCAGAUGAAUAAGGAUCGGCUAACUCCGUGCCAGCAGCCGCCGCCG